ACAACGGCCCUUUUCAGGGCCACACAAAUAUUCAAGAAAGAAUGC
rfam:Drosophila ficusphila unplaced genomic scaffold scf7180000450010, whole genome shotgun sequence